GCGCACGAGGCCUUUACUGACGCUAAAGCUCGAAGGUGCGGGUAUCGAACAGGAUUAGAUACCCUGGUAGUCCGCACGGUAAACGAUGGAUGCCCGCUGUUUGCGAUACACUGUGAGCGGCCAAGCGAAAGCGCUAAGCAUCCCACCUGGGGAGUACGCCGGCAACGGUGAAACUCAAAGGAAUUGACGGGGGCCCGCACAAGCGGAGGAACAUGUGGUUUAAUUCGAUGAUACGCGAGGAACCUUACCCGGGCUUGAACUGCCGGCGAACGAUACAGAGAUGUUGAGGCCCUUCGGGGCGCCGGCGGAGGUGCUGCAUGGUUGUCGUCAGCUCGUGCCGUGAGGUGUCGGCUUAAGUGCCAUAACGAGCGCAACCCCUCUCCGUAGUUGCCAUCGGGUGAUGCCGGGCACUCUGCGGACACUGCCACCGUAAGGUGUGAGGAAGGUGGGGAUGACGUCAAAUCAGCACGGCCUUUACGUCCGGGGCUACACACGUGUUACAAUGGGUGGUACAGAGGGCAGGCGUCCGGCAACGUCCGUCUAAUCCCGAAAGCCAUCCUCAGUUCGGACUGGGGUCUGCAACCCGACCCCACGAAGCUGG
rnacentral:rRNA from 1 species